AUCGCCUAGCGGGUGGUCGUGUUGCUAAAACAAGACAGCACCCGGUGAAGAACGCUAGAAGCUAACAAACGUCUUUUUUUCACUCGUUAUAAUGUUAUGAAUUGAUACCUGCUUUGCAAUCAAUUUACCGGAGUAUAGACGCAUGAAACCGAGGUUAGGUGUAUGAAGGGAGGACGUGGAGAGUGGUCCUGAAGAUGAGGCGUCUGUACAGGAAGAAAGCCCUGAGUCUGGUUAAGGAGCUGGAUGCCUUCCCCAAGGUCCCAGAGAGCUAUGUCGAGACCACAGCCACAGGGGGGACAGUGUCCCUGAUAGCAUUUACUGCCAUGGCACUGCUGGCCUUCUUUGAGUUCUUUGUGUAUCGGGACACCUGGAUGAAGUAUGAAUACGAAGUGGAUAAAGAUUUUUCAAGUAAAUUGAGAAUAAACAUAGAUAUUACAGUUGCCAUGAAAUGCCAACAUGUGGGUGCAGACAUUCUGGACCUGGCAGAGACUAUGAUAACAUCAAAUGGAAUUCGGUAUGAGCCUGUGAUUUUUGAGCUGACCCCGCAGCAAAAACUGUGGCACAGGACCCUUUUGUUGAUACAGAACAGGCUGAGAGAGGAGCAUUCUCUACAGGAGGUCUUGUACAAGAGUGUUCUAAAGGGAGCCCCUACGGCCUUGCCCCCUAGAGAGGGCACCGCCUCAGAGCCCUUAAGUGCCUGUAGGAUACAUGGGCACGUCUACGUCAACAAAGUGGCUGGGAACUUCCACAUCACAGUGGGAAAGCCUAUUCAUCAUCCUCGUGGCCAUGCUCAUAUAGCAGCUUUUGUAAGCCAUGACACGUACAACUUCUCCCAUCGGAUAGACCAUUUGUCUUUCGGAGAAGAGAUUCCCGGCAUCAUCAACCCUCUGGACGGGACAGAGAAAAUCACCAGCAACCAUAAUGAGAUGUUCCAGUAUUUCAUUACAGUGGUUCCCACCAAACUGCACACGUCCAAGGUGUCGGCAGACACACACCAGUUCUCUGUGACGGAGAGGGAGCGGGUGAUCAACCAUGCCGCGGGCAGCCACGGUGUGUCUGGGAUCUUUAUGAAGUACGACACCAGCUCUCUGAUGGUGACGGUCAGUGAGCAGCACAUGCCCCUCUGGCAGUUCCUGGUACGACUCUGUGGCAUCAUCGGGGGCAUCUUCUCUACCACAGGCAUGAUCCAUGGAUUUGUUGGCUUCUGUUUCGACAUAGUCUGCUGUCGUUUCAAACUAGGCCCAUAUAAACCCAGAGAGGUGGUUCUCCCAGAUCCCCAUGUGAACAAUUGUGCUGCUCCGCUCCUGACGGACAACCACGUACAGGAGUAGCCUUGUGACCUGCGCCCAUAUCCACAAAGCUCUGUGAGUAGGAGUGCUGAGCUUGGAUCAGUUUUGCCCUUUUAGAGAUAAGAUUGUAUGGACAGAUCCUAGAUCAGCACUCCUACUGUGAGACGCUUUGUGGAUAUGGAACCUGGAGCCUGCUGCUGAUCGUGCACCUACUGUCCCUUCACCUGUGGGGGAAUCCAGGAAGAGAAGUCUCCAAUCACAAUUGAUCAUCACUUUUCAGACAUCUCCACAAGAUGAGAGCCAAGUGGAGAAAGAACCGUAUGCGCAGGCUGAAGCAUUUAAAGGUGGAAAAUGAGGCAGAGGUCCAAGUAGACUGGGCCCAUCCCCUACAGCUGUGAUACCCCUCCAAGACCACUCUGGUGAUUGAAGCCUGCAGCCCAUGAUGUGAACCAUGGUUGUACGAAGCCAACCUCAUUGCAAUGGAGUAAAGGACAGAUCCUGGCUACCCAGCCCUCUACUAUGCUAAUGGAGGCUGGCCAGCAAUGACUACUGGAGAAUGGCGAGGAAGACUUGAGGAAGACUUGAGAAAUUAUCUCCUGUCAUUGAACUCUGGACUUUUACCACCUGCCCAGCAUUUUAUUUGUUGUAAAGACUUUUAUACAUCUUUGGUUUAUUAACUACAAAAUAGAGAACAAUUUUUAUUGGUCAAACCCUUCACCUUCCAUUAUACCCAGACUAGAUGUAACACAAUAAAUGUAAGUCCGGGCGACACUCUUUAUUACAUGUUUUUUGCCUUAUGUAGACUGUCUAGCAACCCAAAGGUUGUGUGUUCUAAUCUCCACAGACCAUUUUAGCUAAUUAGCAACUACAAUACUUAGCAUGUUGGCUAACCUUAACAACACCCCCCCCCCCCCUUUGCCUCAUUAGCAUUAGUCAUCUAGCUAAUGUUAGCCACAACCAAUUGGAAUGCAAUAUAUCCCUUGCAGUCAACUGUGGUAUUUUAGCCCAAUUGCAAUCUUUUUUUCAUAAGGGAUGUUUUGCAAAUUCUUAACAUGCUGUAAGAUUUGCAAUUCAUGAAAUGAGACAUCUACAAAUUAAUACAUCUCAUCCUAAAUGGAGUGUCUUGGAUUUAAGUACAAAAUGCUCUGUGACCACGUGCCACACAUGACCCUUCGAAGAAUCAAAGCCACACCGUGCUCCAGCCCAUUUCUGUGGAUGAUCAACGCUCCAUCAUUUGUUCUAAGAUCUUAACUGUAAGUAGAACAAUAUUUUGGGAAGGGAUUAAAUAUUUUUUUGCCAGGAUUCUAUCUGAUUGCGAUUUGUUGGUUAUGUGCCAUUUAAAGGGAGAACAUGCUAUGUUUACCUUGAGCACUGCCUUUACAAGGUGCAUAGCUGACAACGGGUGAUGUUAUUGAAUCUCGGUCACAGUGAAUAUUCUCCAGCCCCACUAACAAGAGUUGAAAGAUGGUUUUGGUGCUGAGUGAGAGUGUUCUUUGCUAGGGAAAGGUAACACAAAUAUAAUUUUUUUGAAAAAGGACAUAAGCAAGAUUGGAUCCUGUGACCUUCUGGUCCCAAUCCCUGUGCCUAGUCCACUAUGCUAGUAGGGGGGAGGGUAGCAACUUAGUUUUUUCAUGUAUUUAAUGCUGUUCCGUCAAAGUAAAAAAAAAAAAAACUAAGCUUAGAAAUGUAAUUAGUUAAAAAUGAUUGGUAAGGAAAUCAAAAUUCAGAACCAGGAUUCGAACUGGCAACCUUUUGGGUCAAAAUCCAUGUUGAACGCCCUCCAUCCACCUCCAACCUACCUCCCUGAAAGCAUUUAUUUUAUUUGACUCAUCUGUAAACUCCACCCACUUAGUUUUCAUCCAACCAAUCACAUUUGUUCUGCCCUAGAAAGUGGAGCUUCCCUCAGAACAAGAUUGAGGCCGGGGAUCAAUUCAUGGUGCUGUUAAAUGGUACAUUGUCGGGUGUCUUGUGCGCUGUUCUAUAACAAGCCUUGGAUUGAAUCCCAGCCUGAAUGAGGAAAACUGCUGAGCACUAUUCCAUGGCUCUUUCUCAAUUAAAGGGCUCCUUCAUCGAUUCCUUGGGAGAUUCUCUAUUGCACAAAAGUCUGGCCUCUCUUCGACGCCUCCAUCAUCCUCUCCUCAGUGAUGAGUGUCAAUUCAUUUGCAAGCUAUCAGAGGAGUGUCAUCCAGUCCUCGAUAGCCUCCUCUCGCCAAGGAUAAUCAUAGCUGCUAGCUCCGAAGUGUUUUAAACUUUGCCACACCUUUGCCACAUCUAUAGAAUGUAUUGCGCAAGUAGCUAUAUUUGUUUUAUGACUUUGUAUUUUGUGAUUCCUCCUCUGUAAACGUCAUUUGCCUGAUGUCGAGCGAGUGAAUGACAGUCUCAUUUCUUGCAAGAGCAUUUCCCUCCACGUUCCCUCUCCUUACCCCUCCUCAGUUAUAUUGACCUUUUUCAAAACUGGGUGAGAAGCGGACAGUGGUGAGAAGGCAA